UACGUACUGAACCUUGAAGAGGACUCCUUU
rnacentral:sRNA from 1 species